AACACCAUUUGCAAGUCCUGCACGAAUACGUAUAGUAAUCUCAGUCGUCACCAUGAGCUCUUCUACAAUUAUUCUCUUGUUCCUGGCCGGUUCCAUGUUCACAACGGUUCUGACAGCAUCGUGUCCAAGUCACUGUUACACCGCCAGUUCUACGUGCAUCAACAACUGUUACAACACCGUGUCAACUAUUAUCGGCAACAUCGGGAAACGUGCCGUCAUGGAAGCUAAAUCACGUCAAAGAAGAUACAAUUGUUACGAUAUGUGUAUGUCCUUGUACAAGGCAUGCUGCGGAACAAGUUAAAGGGAACAUUUUGAGACGAAAAUUAAUUUUUAAGUAAUAAAAACGUCUUAUUAAAAGAGUUGUACAACAAU